UACGAAGGGGGCUAGCGUUGUUCGGAUUUACUGGGCGUAAAGCGCACGUAGGCGGAUUGUUAAGUCGGGGGUGAAAUCCUGGAGCUCAACUCCAGAAUUGCCUUCGAUACUGGCUUUCUAGAGGCUGGAAGAGGUUAGUGGAAUUCCCAGUGUAGAGGUGAAAUUCGUAGAUAUUGGGAAGAACACCAGUGGCGAAGGCGGCUAACUGGUCCAGAUCUGACGCUGAGGUGCGAAAGCGUGGGGAGCAAACAGGG
rnacentral:rRNA from 1 species